UCAUCACUCAUCAUCGCGAAGAACCCUCUCUGAAAUUUUUGUUAUCAAAUGCCUUUAUCCCCCUUUCUGAAACCCUCUCAACAUCGCGAAGAACCACACGCAGCACUCACUAUCGCCACUGACCGUCGCUCCUCUUCGCCCUCCUGCACUGAGCUGCGCCACUCUCAGCAUCGUCAUCUUUGCGCUUCUCAUCGUCUUCCCCUUUCAGUUCGAUCGUCAUCUCUGUAACCAUCACCUUCGCCAUUCUCAGUUUCUCACCGUUGCUGGUGACCGUCGCCACCCAGUAACCACUCAACGCCAAUCACCGUCGCUGUUGCUGCACUAAUCAUCGCUCUUCUUCGCCAUUCUUCUCAUCAUCGUCUUCUCUGUGCUGCUUACAUCGUUGAGUAUAUCCUUCUUCACGGGGCAUCUACCUGAGGGAGGCUAGUGCUUUCCAACAAUCUACUGAGUGGACAGUGGAAGUUGAUCCAAAAUUUCAUGAGGAUGCCAACAAAAUUGGAGAAUUGGCUGUGUUUGAGGAGCACAUUGAAUUACAUUCUACAGAUAGCUCAGUUGUGAAAGCCCCUGAUUAUCUACUGCUCACUAAGAAUGGUCGUACCUUCAACAACAUUUGGAUUGACUCUGAGUAUGCACCAUAUGGAACCUCGAGUGUAUAUUGGGUGCAUAAAAUCCGGCCCUGUGCUUGCUCAGAAGGGAGUGAAAUAUCAUAAACAUGAAUACUGGAAGUUUGGUGAGGUAUCAAUGAAGAUUAUGCAAUGAAGAUUAAGCUGAUUAUAAUUGUGGUUUAUUGGCUAAGAUAGAGUACUGUUUAGAAUCUUUAUAUGUAUGGUGACUAAUGACUUUUAUUAGAAAAUACUUAUGUACGUAGGAUAUGCUUUUUUGUAGAGUAUUACUAGUAAAUUCUAAGUGAUAUUAUGGUUAUUUUGAUAUGGCUAUGCUUACUUUAGUGUGAAAUGU